AUUGAACGCUGGCGGCAGGCUUAACACAUGCAAGUCGAGCGGAGAUGAGGUGCUUGCACCUUAUCUUAGCGGCGGACGGGUGAGUAAUGCUUAGGAAUCUGCCUAUUAGUGGGGGACAACAUUCCGAAAGGAAUGCUAAUACCGCAUACGUCCUACGGGGGAAAGCAGGGGAUCUUCGGACCUUGCGCUAAUAGAUGAGCCUAAGUCGGAUUAGCUAGUUGGUGGGGUAAAGGCCUACCAAGGCGACGAUCUGUAGCGGGUCUGAGAGGAUGAGCCGCCACACUGGGACUGAGACACGGCCCAGACUCCUACGGGAGGCAGGAGUGGGGAAUAUUGGACAAUGGGGGGAACCCUGAUCCAGCCAUGCCGCGUGUGUGAAGAAGGCCUUAUGGUUGUAAAGCACUUUAAGCGAGGAGGAGGCUACUGAGACUAAUACUCUUGGAUAGUGGACGUUACUCGCAGAAUAAGCACCGGCUAACUCUGUGCCAGCCGCCGCUGUAAAAC
rnacentral:rRNA from 1 species